UAAAGGUUAAGACAAUUAUCUGUGUAGCCUAUGCAGUUUUUCGUCGACAUUUUAAUUUCCGAGCGAGAUAUGUGUAGGUGAAUUAUGAGAUUUUACAAAUGCUUUAUUUUCGCUUAAAAAUUAAAAUCUCCUACACAGAAUUGCACAGAAAAUGUUCUUUACAUUUAUGUUCGAUAAUGGGUUGAUUCACUUUAAUGUUAAAACGAACAGCACAUAGUUGUCUCUACUGAACG